rnacentral:lncRNA from 1 species
GGCCCGGCCUGAACAGGCAGUGUGAGGAAGUUCCAGCAACCGCUCCCACGUGGCUGCGUUCCGGAAGCUUCCUGGGCAGUCAGCUGCAGGCUCCAUCAGGCUCCCUUUCGUUCCAGCCCCACUGUGAGCCCCUAGGGGACCGGCAGGAGCGAUGAGGUCCCCAGAAUUCAGCACUGUGCCGAGCUGGCCGGGCCACCCCUCUGGUCAAAUGGCUCAGGGCAGCGGGCUCCCUGGGACUGCUCAACAUGGGCGCCCCCGGCUGAUCCAUGGCUCAUGGGCUGCUGGGGAAGACGGGGCCAGAGCUCCUCUGUCUCCCCUGCUUUGAUGCCCCUCCUUGUCCGGGGCCAUCUUGAGGACCUCAGUGAUCCCCCAUAGACCCUGGCCACAGUCACACCUGGCCCCCACCCAGCACAGGGGCUGUAACCUCGGUGCUCGGACGGACUCAGGACAGACGCCGGCGCUCCGAUGCAGUCAGGACAGACGCCAGCGCUCGGACGGACUCAGGACAGACGCCGGCGCUCGGACGGACUCAGGACAGACGCGGGCGCUCGGACCGACUCAGGACAGACGCGGGCGCUCGGACGGACUCCGGACAGACGCGGGCGCUCGAAGGACUCCGGACAGACGCCGGCGCUCGGAUGGACUCUGGAUAGACGCCGGCGCUCGGACGGACUCAGGAUAGACGCCGGCAGACCCACACCUCACUGAGGGCCAGAGCCUGAGGAGCCCUUGCCUCCGGGGCGUGUAGAUGCAAGACAAGCAUCGUUUUACUCCAGGGAAGAGCAAUGCUGCCCAGGAGGGCCCGUCCACCUGUGGGGCCUGGAGAUGCAGGACAAGCAUCAUUUGACUCCAGGGAACAGCAAUGCCGGCCGGGAGUGCCCAUCCAUGGGAAGAUGCUGGAGAAUCGACGUGGUUCCUGGUCCUGCUGCUGGGUCAGGACCUCAGAGGCCCCUGGAGUAUGUGCCUAGCCCACCCGCCCCCAGGCCCUCGCCUUCCAUAACCAACUCAAAAUGAAAACAGACCAAACCAUACAAUAAAAACGUGCAAUUUUAACAGUGGGGGAGCCUAACGUGGGCGGAAGGCGCGGGCUGCCCGGGGUUGGAUUCCGGGCCUUUCCUUACCAGCUGCACGACCUUGGGGACGCUGCGUACAUCUCCCUGUCCUCGAUUUCUCUUAUCUGUGAAAUGGGGAGAUCACAGAACCUCUUUCAAGGUCCCUGUGAGUGUGUUCAUAGAUACAAACCCUUAGAACGAUGUCUGGCAUUAGACACAGUGAUCAACAAUCAGGUGUUAUCAUUGAACGUGACACACGGAGCCCGUGUCUGCUGGAAUGAAAGCAGGUUCCUUCCGGGUUUGGGCUGCUCCUGAGUUCGCUUUGUGCCUGUGGGUCUGGACAGUCCAGGCCUCUGGGGCCUUUCCCCAGGGCUCCAGCCAGACAAUGGUGGACACGGCGCAGGGGCAGAGGGUGCUGGCCGG